ACAUAACACGUUCCAAGACAAUUUUAUUUAUGUGGCAUGAAGUUAAUGAGAAAAGAGAUGCUUGUGGCAACAUAAUAUGUUACUGUAACACAGUGCUGGCGCCAGAAAAUGAAGGCGGGGUAUUCACCUAAUUUUUUCCCUCUAAAUAUAGUAUAUGAACCAAACAACAUACCACUAGCAAUAUAUGAACAAAACAACACUAGCAUAAUGGUAGUACCAAUAUUUCAAUGUAUCACACCAUAACAACAUGAAUACAUAAGUACCUUUUGAUUGAUAAAGCGAUGAUAUCCUUCUUAAAAUAUAACUUUGCGGUCGUCUUUCUGAAAGAGAUUGAUGACAUCUUCUUCCUUCACUUGAUUGUAAAAUUCUCUCUCAACGAAUGUAACUGGCGUGGACGUAGAAGUUAACUUUCUUGACAUUGAAGAUUUGUCCCACAACUCGAAUAAGCUAAUACCCUUCUUUUUCAUCUACAUCACUAUCACAUAAACAAAGUAAAAUCAAUGGCAAUGUCGCAUGUACCGGUGAACAUUGGACAAACAAGCAAUCCAAUUUCAGUUUUACAAGCAAUCAUUGCAAAAUCUUCAGAUUUCUUUAAAAAACUAACAGAAAGUAUAAAGUAUACCUUGUUGGAUGCUAAACUAGAUGUAGAUCAGUAGAUGGAUGCAGAAUGUCCAGGGCGUAGCCGUGGAGAUGAGCCAGGAGGGGCUGGGCGUCUACUUGGGCCGGGGAGCCAGGAGGCCGGAGGCGGACCGGCACCUAGCGGAGCCGCGCCGCCGCAGAGGCCACCGCAGAGCGCCAGAGGGUUGGAGGGCUUCUGGGCAUGGGCGGGCCAGCAGGGGAGGGAGAGGGCGGCCGAAG
rnacentral:lncRNA from 1 species